GUCCGACAAUCCCGCAUUUGGGGGUUACAUUCGAGGUACUUGUUGCUUGUUUUAGGUACUCCCGGGAAGGUCUGAGAAAGCUUUGCUCUUGUUGUGGAGCAAUACGUUCUAGCCGGGCGGCCUUUUCAUGAAGGUGCAGGGGAAUAGAAAGAAUAUCGACUGGGAUGUCACUAGGCCCAUGAUAUCCGGGACAACGGAUUAGGCGUAGACGUUGACGUACGAUUGGAAUUGCUUCUGUGGCUUGCUUUUCGAGUAUAAUGUGCGGGUUGCUUUUGUUUGACUGCAAAACUCAAUUCAGACUAAUCUGUCGAGGGC
rnacentral:RNase_P_RNA from 1 species